rnacentral:tRNA from 1 species
CAAAGUGUAGCUUAUACAAAAGCAUCUAGUUUACACCUAGAAGAUAACUCACACAAGAGUCACUUUGA